rnacentral:lncRNA from 1 species
CCCCCCAUUAUCAGUUACCCCACCCUUAUCAGUCCCCUUAUCACCUUAACCCUGUUGUUAUCAGUCCCCUUAUCACCAUAACCCCUUAUCAUUUCCCUUAUCACCUUAACCCCUUAUCAGUUCCCUUUAACCCCUUAUCACUUCCCUUAUCACCAUAACCCCUUAUCAUCCCUUAUCUCCUUAACCCCGUUGUUAUCAGUUACGGUUACCGUGGCCGUGACAGUCGCUCCAACCUCCAUCUCUUGGGGUCGGGGGAGUUGGUUUAUUUCAUCGCCUGCGUCGUGGUGCUGCUCAGUGUCCCCUUAAAGAGACAGCGCCAC